ncrna:unclassified sequences Clostridiales-2 RNA
UAAAAAAAGGGAGUGCAGAGGGGGAACCCCUCGCCGAUGGAGGAGGGUGCUCAGCUCGCGCAGCGAGCGCCGAAGGGAAC